GCGGCGCGGCGCGGCCCGGGCGGGCGGGCGGACCCCGCACCCCGCGCUGCUCGAGCGGCGGCUCCGAUGCUCCAAUAUAAAUACUAUACAUUUGCUCAAACGGUGCUACAGCCUCAACCAAGCAGCAGCCCUUUGUGAGGGGGAGUGUCUUGCCUUCAAAGCAGAGAAGAGAGAGCAGAGGAAGGAAAAGGAUAGCUGAAUGUCAAUCGCAACAUUGGGUUAAAUCCCUGGCAUAGACAAGGCUUGAAUUUAAUGGAAGCUGAAGAUCCUCAGCACCUCUGUUGGGACGUAAGUAUGAAAGGACAGGAUAAACAAUCAUCACAACAGAGAGAGAGAGAAGGAGGAGGAGGAACAGAUGGCUAGAAUUCGUCUGAUGUGUUGUGUUGCUUCACAUUACCUAACUUGAAUUGAGAGGUGGGGAAAUGAUUUUGAAAUUAGAUGUAAAUUUGAACGUGUUCUGCUUAAGGGUAGGACAUAAAAAAUACAUUCAUGUUUUAGCAACUAAGAGCAACUGAAGUGCAAGGCUCUUCAGUGAGUAAUUAUGUUCCAAGGGGAAAACAGAACAAAAGUACCCAAUAAGCAUUUUAAAAUCAGGGGAGGGAUUUUAUGAUUUUUUUUUUAUCAGGUGUUAAAGCAAUGUGCUAUGAUUCUGUAAACCUCACCUUUAAAGUUGGCACUUUGAGGUUCAAAUUAUGCUAGCUGUACAUAUUUACAAGUCCUCUAAUUUGGCAACACAGUCAUGAAUCAGGAGAAUAUGAUUUCACUCUACUAAGAAGCAUGGAAGUAAGUAGUAUCAUAGUUUCUUUCUUGCUUUUGUAGUAGGUGUUGCAAGAAUCUCAGUUAAAAUUCACUGAGAAGUUUUGCUGUAAAACAGCAUUUCUCAGUCCAUGGUUUGCAACCCAAAAGUGGGUCACAAGAAUAUAUGAAAGGGUUGCAAACAAACUUUAACAAUGGAUCAACAUGCUUUAAAAAUGGAAUAUCGUUUAAAGGAGAAAAAUAUGAGAAACCAUGGCUUUUCCCUUGCAGGCAGAGUUCCAGCUUGCAAGGGGCUACUUGGGGACCCCCAUGCACCCACCCAAUCCCUCAUCCCCACCCCCUGCCCCACACAGGCUGGGACCUGGGGGUGAGGGGCACCAGGGAGGGAAUGAGGGGCACUGGGUCAGGACUGGCCAUCAGUGUUUACAAGUGGGUCCAGAUCUAAAAAGUGGAGAACCACUGCUCUAAAAAUUAUAAAACAGCAACACACACUUCGAUAGAGGUACUUAUAGAUACUAUAGCAGAACUAAAUAACCAGUUCACUUUGUUGUCAUAAUGCAUUAAGGUGAAAGACAUGAAACAAAUAAAGUUAAACUUACUCUGCCCUACACUUAGCGAGAAUAUUGCAAAAUAGUUACUGCUUUUUCCAACCUGCUAUCCCAUCCUCCCAGGGAUUUUUAACAAAUUAAAAGGAUUUUAUAAAGUAGCACACCAUAUGUUCUUAGUGUUUCCUUACAUUAAGUAGCAAUACUGAUGAUUUGUCAUUGACCGUUCAUGCUUUUUCAUAUUUGUAAUACCAAUCCAUUUUAGUAGCAAAAUGUUUUCUUGCUAAUUGUUGCCACCUAGUGGCUGCUGCUUGCUCUAGACUUUUUAUAUUUCUUUGUGGCUUUUAGGAUUUAGUCUAAAGGGACACAAUCAGAUUAAAAUGUAGUCAAGUUUAAAAAAGUAAAUUAAAAGCAUCUGUAGGUAAUGCAUUUCCCACUGAGUAUCUCUGUGAAGUUUUUGGUUUUACAAUACUUUCUUUUUAUUCAUUCUGGAACUGUGUGUACAUAGCGUUGUCAAAUGUACCAAGUAAACAAGCCAGAAAAAACCCCAGAUUACUCAUUUAUUUUCUUUGCUCUCAUUCAUUUAAGUAAGCAUUGUUGCUUUUAGAAAUCAGAAUGAUGGGGUUUCAGCUAAUACUGUCCUUUAUCAUUAGUAUUCUUCAACAUAAAUAAGAUAUUACUAUAAUUUGGAAGGGCUAAUCAGUUGCUUCCUUAUUGCUCUUUUCCUGGGAUAUUUCUGUUCUGGGACAUACACAGGCACAACUUGCCCAGGGACAAAUGCAAAAUCUGUUCCUAGACAAGUAGUAACAAAGCUUGAGAACUUAAAAUCCUGAACUGAUGGCCAAGUAUUGCACUAGCUAAUUAUGUUUGUAAAUACAGGUUCAAUCUUCUUUACCUACACCCCUGUUACAUAUAUGAGACCUUUUCAAGCUGGAUGGAUACUGUAGGGUUCUGCUCUUCUGGUUUUUUUAUUUUGUUUGCUUGGGGGUUUUUUGCAGUGAGACAAUGAUAAGUAACUGCUAAUUUAUGUUAGGAUAAGAAGCAUGUCAUUGGGUAUUUCUACACAUGGUCAUUAUGGGCAUUUGUAU